GUAAAGCGCGCGCAGGCGGAUUGGUCAGUCUGUCUUAAAAGUUCGGGGCUUAACCCCGUGAUGGGAUGGAAACUGCCAAUCUAGAGUAUCGGAGAGGAAAGUGGAAUUCCUAGUGUAGCGGUGAAAUGCGUAGAUAUUAGGAAGAACACUAGUGGCGAAGGCGACUUUCUGGACGAAAACUGACGCUGAGGCGCGAAAGCCAGGGGAGCGAACGGGAUUAGAUACCCCGGUAGUCCUGGCCGUAAACGAUGGGUACUAGGUGUAGGAGGUAUCGACCCCUUCUGUGCCGGAGUUAACGCAAUAAGUACCCCGCCUGGGGAGUACGACCGCAAGGUUGAAACUCAAAGGAAUUGACGGGGGCCCGCACAAGCGGUGGAGUAUGUGGUUUAAUUCGACGCAACGCGAAGAACCUUACCAGGUCUUGACAU
rnacentral:rRNA from 1 species